rnacentral:snRNA from 1 species
AUAUUUACUUGGCAGAUGAGAUACUAUGAUUAUGAUGAUGGUUUUCCCAGGGCAAGGUUUAUCCAUUGCAUGCUGGAUGUGCUAACCCCGGCGAUUUCCCCAAACAUAGGAAACUCAACUGCAUAAUUUGUGACAGUGGGGGACUGUGUUCACACUCUCCCCUG